AUUGAACGCUGGCGGCAUGCUUUACACAUGCAAGUCGAACGGCAGCGCGGGCUUCGGCCUGGCGGCGAGUGGCGAACGGGUGAGUAAUGCAUCGGAACGUGCCCAGUAGUGGGGGAUAGCCCGGCGAAAGCCGGAUUAAUACCGCAUACGACCUGAGGGUGAAAGCGGGGGACCGAAAGGCCUCGCGCUAUUGGAGCGGCCGAUGUCGGAUUAGCUAGUUGGUGGGGUAAAGGCUUACCAAGGCGACGAUCCGUAGCUGGUCUGAGAGGACGACCAGCCACACUGGGACUGAGACACGGCCCAGACUCCUACGGGAGGCAGCAGUGGGGAAUUUUGGACAAUGGGGGCAACCCUGAUCCAGCCAUGCCGCGUGCGGGAAGAAGGCCUUCGGGUUGUAAACCGCUUUUGUUCGGGAAGAAAUCCUCUGGGCUAAUACCCCGGGGGGAUUACGGUACCGGAAGAAUAAGCACCGGCUAACUACGUG
rnacentral:rRNA from 1 species